rnacentral:rRNA from 1 species
CAGCCCUAAACGAUGCGCGCUAGGUGUAUCGGUGACCACGAGUCACCGAGGUGCCGAAGGGAAACCGUGAAACGUGCCGCCUGGGAAGUACGGUCGCAAGGCCGAAACUUAAAGGAAUUGGCGGGGGAGCAACCACAACGGGUGGGAGGCCUGCGGUUUAAUUGGACUCAACGCCGGGAAGCUCACCGGAUAAGACAGCGGAAUGAUUGCCGGGCUGAAGACCCUGCAUGACCAGCUGAGAGGAGGUGCAUGGCGUAGUCGUGU